rnacentral:piRNA from 1 species
UCUCAAGAUGUGUAGGAGGUCUGUUGGC